GCAGACAUGAACCACUGGCUGAGAAACAUCCUGAUUCUGACUCUCUGGCUAGAGUGUAAAGGAGAAGACAGAGUGACCCAGCCAGCAGGAGAUGUCAUUGCUGCUGAAGGAGACACAGUUACACUUGACUGUACUUUUGAGACGAGUUAUCCAGGUCCAACUUUGUUCUGGUACAAACAGGAUGGAAACAACAGCCCCAGAUUCAUGCUGAGUCGCAUGCAACAGAACGAUGUGAAAACAGAGGAUAAGUUUAAGGAGAGGUUUUCAUCAACAGUUGAUUCCACCUCAAAAUCAGUUCCUCUGAAGAUCCAGAAGCUUCAGCUGUCUGACUCUGCUGUGUACUACUGUGCUCUGCAGCCCACAGUGACAGGAAACACCAAAACUCUGUAC